UAGUACGAGAGGACCGGGUCUGACGAACCGCUGGUGUUCCAGUUGUUCUGUCAAGAGCAGUGCUGGGUAGCUAUGUUCGGAAAGGAUAAGCGCUGAAAGCAUCUAAGCGCCAAGCCUAUCCCAAGAUGAGUUCUCCCUGAAGGGUCGUGGUAGACCACCACGUUGAUAGGUUACUGGUGUAAGUGCAGUAAUGUAUUUAGCUAAGUAAUACUAAUAACCCGUUCGGCUUGAUCAUUU
rnacentral:rRNA from 1 species